rnacentral:rRNA from 1 species
CACGUAGGGCGCAAGCGUUGUCCGGAAUUAUUGGGCGUAAAGAGCUCGUAGGCGGUCCGUCACGUCCGCUGUGAAAACCCAGGGCUCAACCCUGGGCUUGCAGUGGAUACGGGCGAACUAGAGGUAGGUAGGGGAGAAUGGAAUUCCCGGUGUAGCGGUGAAAUGCGCAGAUAUCGGGAGGAACACCGGUGGCGAAGGCGGUUCUCUGGGCCUUACCUGACGCUGAGGAGCGAAAGCGUGGGGAGCGAACAGG